rnacentral:rRNA from 1 species
UACGUAGGGUGCAAGCGUUGUCCGGAAUUAUUGGGCGUAAAGAGCUCGUAGGCGGUCUGUCGCGUCGGCUGUGAAAACUCGGGCUCAACUCCGAGCUUGCAGUCGAUACGGGCAGGCUAGAGUUCGGCAGGGGAGACUGGAAUUCCUGGUGUAGCGGUGAAAUGCGCAGAUAUCAGGAGGAACACCGGUGGCGAAGGCGGGUCUCUGGGCCGAUACUGACGCUGAGGAGCGAAAGCGUGGGGAGCGAACAGG